CGGUUUAAUUGGACUCAACGCCGGGCAGCUCACCGGAUAAGACAGCUGGAUGAUAGCCGGGCUGAAGACUCUGCUUGACUAGCUGAGAGGAGGUGCAUGGCCGUCGUCAGUUCGUACUGUGAAGCAUCCUGUUAAGUCAGGCAACGAGCGAGACCCACGCCAACAGUUGCCAGCAUGUCCUCCGGGAUGAUGGGGACACUGUUGGGACCGCCUCUGCUAAAGAGGAGGAAGGAAUGGGCAACGGUAGGUCAGCAUGCCCCGAAUUAUCCGGGCUACACGCGGGCUACAAUGGUCAGGACAAUGGGUAUCGACACCGAGAGGUGGAGGCAAUCUCCUAAACCUGUCCUUAGUUCGGAUUGUGGGCUGCAACUCGCCCACAUGAAGCUGGAAUCCGUAGUAAUCGCGUUUCAAAAUAGCGCGGUGAAUAUGUCCCUGCUCCUU
rnacentral:rRNA from 1 species